rnacentral:rRNA from 1 species
AGCGGCGGACGGGUGAGUAACGCGUGGGUAACCUGCCUCAUACAGGGGGAUAACAGUUAGAAAUGACUGCUAAUACCGCAUAAGACCACAGCACCGCAUGGUGCGGGGGUAAAAACUCCGGUGGUAUAAGAUGGACCCGCGUUGGAUUAGCUGGUUGGUGGGGUAACGGCCCACCAAGGCGACGAUCCAUAGCCGGCCUGAGAGGGUGAACGGCCACAUUGGGACUGAGACACGGCCCAG